UUAAUAUAAAGGUUAUUUAUAAUUAUCAUCGGUCUCCUCUGAUUAAUUGUAUAAAAUAGUAAAUAUUUAAACUGCACAUUUGGCUGUUAGUUAUACCUUUUUAAAUUAUUUUUUAUUUUACAUUAGAUGUGUGGUUUUAUACAGGUUAUAAGCGGGUCGCUGCUGCUGGGCUUGUUUUCAUCGAGUUGGUUGCUUGUUAUUCUGUUGAGAUCUGGCAACGCGCGGCUCAGCGGAACCGCAGAACCGCGGAGUGAGGAACCAACCGAGGCUCCAACGGCACGAAUUCAUUCACCGACUUCCGUUUUUUUCCGGCCCGGUCGACAUUUCGUAACCGUGUUCUGGAGCCGAAACCCGAACCGGAGAAGACGGAGCGCGGAUGCGGCGGCGUGAGGAAAUGUAACGGCGCUUCCGUGACGUCGGAGCGGCAGCUCCAGCCGCGGCGGCCCGCUGUCCGCCGCGGCCUGUCCGCCGCAGGAAGCGCUCUGCCCGGGUGUGAAGACCGGAGCGCAGCGCUGCCUCUGAAUGUUACCCCCAGAACGUUCCAGACUGUCAGGAACAUUCCUGCCCCAUUCCAGUUCCAGGCAACUCCCUGGGAUGUUGCAGCUGCAGCAGCAAGGUAAGAGUGAACCGUCCUCCUGCUGAACCAACCGGUUCCUGAUCGCCUGCAGCAUGUGGAAGGAGAACUCAGCUCUUUGUCUGCAGCCGGUUAAACCUCUGAUCAUGUUGCUUACAGAGUUUUCUGUAGAUUCGGCGUCAGAUUCUUUGAAAGGGCGCGACCCAGAGUCUACCCUGUGAGUUUAGCCUUCAAUGAGGCGGAGUUUUGAUUAAAAUUACGUUUUAGUCGUAAACGUCUGGGAAGCUGUUUGUGUUUCAGUGAAACUCUCCAUGUUUACAGCAGCUGAAGCUGCUCUGUAUGUCAACAACAUUUUAUAACUAAAUUACUACACAAGCUGUAAAGAUUUGUGUUCACAACUCUGCAGCUGGAGGCAACAUAAAGCAUGUGUGUGAAUUUAUCUUCCUGUGUGUUUCUAAUGAAUCAGUGAGAAUAAUAAUAGUUUUUAGUUUUUAGCUUCAUUUUUACUGUUUAGAGUUCAGUUCAAAUCUGAGUUGCUGCUACAGAGACCAGCAAAUUGAGCUUUAACAUGUUUUUAUGUCGCAGUCAUAAACUUCUGUCUUUUACUGAGAUUUUAUAAGUUCGACCAAAACAAAGUCAUUCAUUCACUACAUGCUUUAGUUUUCAGCUCCUCUGUAGAAACGUUGAAACUUCUUCCACUGCGACUAUUUGUAUAUUUUUACUCCAGAUUUAUAACCUACAUUGUGUUGAUUUGUGUCAUAAAAUCCCAAUAAAACAUGUUUUCAGUUUA